UUUCAGUGAGAAUCAAAAUGACUCUUCAUGGAAUAACAAAGGGAGAGGCGAGGUGGCUACUCCAGGUGUGAGUUUAAAUAGCAUGAUAAAAGGAGGGGCUCUAGAGAAGUUCCUAUGGAACAAUCCUAUGGGGCAAGUACACUUACAGAUGACCAGUGAAGGAGUCAGAAUCCAGACCAGUCAGACUCCAGAGUUGGAGAGCUCAACUACCAGGUUACAUUACCUCCAAACAGGGAAUUUGAUUGGCAGAGCCCAGCCUAAAGGAUUAGUUUCCCAGGGUUAGGAACAGGUGUGAAUGCGCAUGUGUUUCUGCAUGGGCGUGUGUGUGUGUGUGUGUGUGUGUGUGUGUGUGUGUGUGUAGAAGGGAGGGAGUGUUUACAUGACAUACACAAGACAGCGAGAGGUGUAUUCCUCAAACAGAUUCUAUUAGAUGGGCUGUGGAGAGUUAAUAAUUAGUAUCCCUGGUCCUGACAUUUGAUAUGUACUCCACACAGAAGUGGUACAGUAAAUCUUUGGCUUUCAGGAAUUAAAAUUUUCAGAAAUUUAACUCUCAGAGGUAUCUCAAUCAUUGCAUUUAGCAAACUAAAUGUUUUUAUGUGUAUCUGUCUCCCCCAUAAGUCUGGAACAAGGACAUAAACAUAAACCUAUUCAUUUUGUUGCCUUAGUAACUACCACUAUUGCAGGCAAAUAAAAAGCACAAAAUAAAUGCGUAAUUGAAUAAAUAAACUUAAUAAUAUAACGUGCCGUACCUAACAGGGAUCCCACAGUUUGCUAUAGGAAAUAAUUGCUUACCUAGACAAUAGAUGAGCCUACCAUCCAGCAUCACAACAGCAUCAUUCUUGGUAAUUUUUGAGAUUUGCAAAUGCCACAGUUUUAUUACUUUACGAUGCAAAACGUUAAUAUUACUCAGGUUCUACCUUUAUUUAAGAACUUUAACAGUUUCUUAGAUAAUAGUUUAAGACCUCAAAUACCUACAAAAAGGGAAUAUAAAUACUUGCUAAGCUACAUGGACACUUCUAUUCUUCUCACUGCUUGCACAAUACUUCAGAAAUACAUAGGUCUUCUGCCUCAGACCCAUCAACUAUUUCAUAAAUAUAUACUACCGAAAUAGUACAUGACAGGAAAAGAGAUAUUAUUCUUGUUUUUGUUAAUUUUAUUAUUUUACUGUACACUUUUCCAGGCAGUUGCCUCUAAUUUCCUGGACCCAAAGAAUGAUCUUUGAGCAUUUCAAUAAACAUUAUAGAAUCUAUAUUUUAGUUAUUCAGUAAUGUAAGAAGUUAUGGUUAAUUUUUAUAUGAAGUACAGAGCCAGAUGAAAUUACGCUAGGCAUGUAUUAUUGCUAGAAUGUCUGUCCCUCCAUUCAGAAUUUUGUAGGUUUCAUAUUGAAAUAAAUAUUGAAAUUCAUUUAUAAGAAUCUCACUUGGAAUAUUUCUACACAUUAUAAUAACAGAAGUUACAAAAAUUAAACAUUACAUUUAAAACCAACUUAUUUUCAUAUUCCUUUUUUUUUUUUUGAGAUGGAGUUUCGCUCUUGUUGUCCAAGCUGGAGUGGAAUGACGUGAUCUCAGAAUGGCAUGAUCUCAGCUCACUGCAACCUCCACCUCCUGGGUUCAAGUGAUUCUCCUGACUCGGCCUCUGGAGUAGCUGGGAUUACAGGAAUGUGCCACCACGCCCAGCUAAUUUUUUGUAUUUUUAGUAGAAAUGCGGUUUCACCGUGUUAGCCAGGAUGCUCUCGAAUUCCUGACCUCAGGUGAUCCACCCACCUCACUCCUGACCGCAGGUGAUCCACCUGCCUUGGCCUCCCAAAGUGCUGGGACUACAGGCAACAGGCGUGAGCCACCACGCCUGGCCUCAUAUUCCUUUUUAUAGCUGUUUGUGAUGAUUACUAUCAUUAUAAUAAAACAUAACUGUACUUUUCUUCA